rnacentral:rRNA from 1 species
GACGAACGCUGGCGGCGCGCCUAACACAUGCAAGUCGAACGGUGAAGCGGAGCUUGCUCCUCGGAACAGUGGCGGACGGGUGAGUAACACGUGAGCAACCUGGCUCUAAGAGGGGGACAACAGUUGGAAACGACUGCUAAUACCGCAUGACGUAUCGGGAUGGCAUCUUCCUGAUACCAAAGAUUUUAUCGCUUAGAGAUGGGCUCGCGUCUGAUUAGAUAGUUGGCGGGGUAACGGCCCACCAAGUCGACGAUCAGUAGCCGGACUGAGAGGUUGAACGGCCACAUUGGGACUGAGACACGGCCCAGACUCCUACGGGAGGCAGCAGUGGGGGAUAUUGGACAGUGGGGGCAACCCUGAUCCAGCGACGCCGCGUGAGGGAAGAAGGGUUUCGGAUUGUAAACCUCUGUUGACGGAGAAAAAAAUGAUGGUAUCCGUUUAGAAAGCCACGGCUAACUACGU